GACGAACGCUAGCGGCGUGCUUAACACAUGCAAGUCGAACGGAAAGGCCCUGCUGUUGUGGGGUGCUCGAGUGGCGAACGGGUGAGUAACACGUGAGUAACCUGCCCUUGACUUUGGGAUAACUUCAGGAAACAGGGGCUAAUACCGGAUACGAGCUCCUGCUGCAUCGUGUGGGAUGGAAAGUUUCGGCGGUUGGGGAUGGACUCGCGGCGUGUCAGCUUGUUGGUGGGGUAGUGGCUUACCAAGGCUUUGACGGGUAGCCGGCCUGAGAGGGUGACCGGCAACAUUGGGACUGAGAUACGGCCCAGACUCCUACGGGAGGCAGCAGUGGGGAAUAUUGCACAAUGGGCGGAAGCCUGAUGCAGCAACGCCGCGUGCGGGAUGACGGCCUUCGGGUUGUAAACCGCUUUCGCCUGUGACGAAGCGUGAGUGACGGUAAUGGGUAAAGAAGCACCGGCUAACUACGUG
rnacentral:rRNA from 1 species